CUUGCAUGAACUAACCUUUCUUCUCCGGUGGAGGUGGAUGUUCUUGCCUGCGAUUCCACCCAGAUCUGAAGGAUCUUACCAUCAAACGAAGAAAGAUAUAAAUAGAUAUGCAGGAUCAGGAUGUGGAUGUGGAUGUGGCUGAUGCAGCAAAAGAAACGUUUACAUCUUCUGAAACUGAUGACUGGAAAAAAUACAAGGAUGAUGAUAUUAUGCAACAGCACUCUGCCAUACAAGCUGAACAAGCUGUAAAAGUUCCAUUUCUUGGUGAUAAGGAACCUUUGUCCUCAUUAGAAGCUGAAUACCAUCUGGGAAAUUCAAUUGUGCUUGAGAAAAUAAAGGUGCUGAGUGAACAGUAUGCUGCCAUUAGAAGAACACGUGGAGAUGGGAACUGCUUUUUCCGCAGUUUCAUGUUUGGUUACCUUGAGCACAUUCUGGAAUCACAAGAUCACAAUGAAGUUCAACACAUUAAAUCUAAUAUUGAGGAAUGCAAGAAGACACUUCAAAGUUUGGGCUAUGCAGAAUUCACCUUUGAAGACUUUUUUGCAUUAUUCCUCGAGCAACUCGAUAGUGUUCUUCAAGGUAGCGAAGAUUCCAUAAGUCAUGAUGAACUCCUGUGCAGAAGUCGUGAUCCAUCAAUUUCUGACUAUGUUGUUAUGUUCUUCAGAUUUGUGACAUCAGGUGAAAUAAGAAAGCGGUCCGAGUUUUUCGAACCAUUUAUUCUAGGACUAACAAAUACCUCAGUGGAGCAGUUUUGCAAGUCAGCAGUGGAACCCAUGGGUGAAGAGAGUGAUCAUGUGCAAAUUACAGCCCUAUCAGAUGCAUUGGGUGUACCGAUCCGUGUUGUAUAUCUUGACCGAAGCUCAUGUGAGAACAACAGCAUCAAUGUAAAUCACCAUGACUUUAUUCCUACUAGCAGGGAGGUCGGGAAUAGUGAUGUUUCCAAGACCACAAAUCGUCCAUCUAUCACCCUGCUGUAUCGCCCAGGGCAUUAUGACAUUCUGUACCCCAAGUGAUAUUCUUCAGCCUGCACUUGUUAGCUUUUUUUCAUUUAGUUUGUGGAAACUUUGCUUAUAGAUAUAUUGAUAUGUAUGAUCAAUGGGUAUAGAAACUUUAUUUUACCAUCAAUAAUCUGACUUUGUCGAUGAGGGCCGAACUGUAGAUAAGUGGAGCUUUCUUAAUCCUCUCAUUACAGUGGUUUCUU
rnacentral:misc_RNA from 1 species